rnacentral:rRNA from 1 species
CUCGUAGGCGGCCAACUAAGUCAGACGUGAAACCCCUCGGCUUAACCGGGGAACUGCGUCUGAUACUGGAUGGCUUGAGUUUGGGAGAGGGAUGCGGAAUUCCAGGUGUAGCGGUGAAAUGCGUAGAUAUCUGGAGGAACACCGGUGGCGAAGGCGGCAUCCUGGACCAACACUGACGCUGAUGAGCGAAAGCCAGGGAGCAAACG